AAGAAUAGAUAACGUUAUAUUAUGAAAAUAUGUGACAACAUUAUAUUAAACUAUGGUUUAUAUUAGGUGUUAUAGAAUUCUUAGAAAUAAGAUUUAAAAGAUAUUUAUAAGUGCCACAUAGGAUGAAGUCUUUUUUAAUUAAUAAAAAAUUAAAACCUUAAUUUUUUAAAGGAUCCUCAAUUAAUAUAUAACGGACAAUAAAGUUAAUUUUAGUAUCUCCACAAUCAUCCACCUCAGCAUAGAGCAUGGGCAAUUAGUGACAAGUGGCUUCUCCUAAUUUUAUACCUUGCUUUUUUGUUAUUGACAAAAGCCGUAUGAACCAAUCGUUGAAUUUCGUCGAUUGGCAUUUUUUGUUUAAGUUGAAACGUAAUGUCUAUUUACUUUACUUUCUAUGCCAUCUAACUUCAUUAGCUUUUACUGACUGAACUGAACUGUCAAUCUCCUUCUUCAGAUCCACUCACAAAUCUAUUUAACCGAGCAACUAAGAUUACUCAGACAAUCAAGAAAAACGAUUUGUUGCUCGGAUCCUAGAUCAAAAUUGAUAAUCCUCACCAUUAAUCAACAAGUCAAUCAGAUCUAGGCUACGGUGGGUUUAUGGUUCCAAUCAGUUCUAGAGUACGGCAGGUUUAAGGUUCAAGCAGAUCAGAGGAAGAUCUAGAAAGUGGUAUGGUAUAUCAGUUUGAGGAUGGAAACGAUACGAGUAUGGAGUGGAGACCUCCGAACAAA